rnacentral:rRNA from 1 species
CCGGUACAGGAUGGACCCGCGUCUGAUUAGCUAGUUGGUGGGGUAACGGCCUACCAAGGCGACGAUCAGUAGCCGGCCUGAGAGGGUGAACGGCCACAUUGGGACUGAGACACGGCCCAGACUCCUACGGGAGGCAGCAGUGGGGAAUAUUGCACAAUGGGGAAACCCUGAUGCAGCGACGCCGCGUGAGUGAUGAAGUAUUUCGGUAUGUAAAGCUCUAUCAGCAGGGAAGAAAAUGACGGUACCUGACUAAGAAGCACCGGCUAAAUACGUGCC